UGAGUCACUCCAGCCAUAUGUUAUCUGUCUUACAAAUUAAGGACUUAGGUUUGUGUAGUACUGGAUACUAGUGUUGCUAAACAUUUUCUCUGUAGUUUGCUUAUGAAGAUGCUAGAAGUUGAACAUCCAGGUGCUAAGGGUUUAAGCAGUGGCUCUUGCUAUGUCACUUUCCUUGUCGAGGAGAAGGACGUCAGUAUCUCAAACUUGUGGGAAUGCAGGGCUAUUCUGCGUAGAAGUGGUGUGGCUGAAGCUCUCACUACGAACCACAGUUCGAUGAGAAGAUGAGUGGAACAAAGAACAAGGUAGUUAUGUAGUAGAUCACGAACUACUUAAGAAGCAAAAUUGUUGAGUUCUUGUAAUGUUUUUGCCUUGUAGAAUAUGGAAUGAAGUCACAUGUAUUGGAAAGCAAUUAAAUUCAUGUCAUAUGUUUGUGUAGGUAAUUUCUUUAGUCAUUAUACUAUGUGGUUACUGUACUAGUGAUGUGCUAUAGGUUCAUGUCGAAUCAUAACUAUUCAAUCAUGUUGUUGGUUUCAGGGAGCACAAUCUUAGGAAGGUGCUUCUGCGAAAUUAAUAACUUGAAUUGUGUAAGCUCUUCUUCUCAAGCACCAAAUAUUGUCACUCGUGCUUGAUACAAAGCCUAAAAGAUAUUAAAAAAAGAAAGGUAACUGUUCUCUAUUGUUUUCUUUGAUAUAUUUUAGAAAUAUUAACUUGAAUUGUGUGUGCAGAUGGUUUUUAUGGAAUCUUCUUGUCUUGGUUCCUUUUUCGAACUAACUUGAAUGGCUUGGCAACAUAGGCUAGUUUAGUUGCUUAUAUACAUAGUUAGAGACACUUUUCUUAUAUGGGUUUAUAAAUGGUGUGAUUUCUGA